rnacentral:tRNA from 1 species
AGCAGUGUGGCUUAGUGGAAAGAGCACGGGCUUGGGAGUCAGAGGUCGUGGGUUCGAAUCCCGGCUCUGUCA